GUUAACGCUGGCAGCGUGCAUAACACAUGCAAGUCGAACGGAGCAUUCUGCGAUUACAUCAAGGGAUGCUUAGUGGCAGACGAGUGAGUAACACGUAAGGAAUCUACCCUUGAGAAGGGGAUAACAUGCUGAAAGGCGUGCUAAUACCCUAUACGAUCCCUGGAAGGCAUCUUUCGGGGAUGAAAGGCGUAAGCCGUUCAAGGAGGAUCUUGCGACCUAUCAGCUUGUUGGCGGGGUAACGGCCCACCAAGGCUACGACGGGUACCCGGCCUGAAAGGGCGACCGGGCACGGAGGCACUGAGACACGGGCCUCACUCCUACGGGAGGCAGCAGUGGGGAAUUUUGGACAAUGGGGGAAACCCUGAUCCAGCAACGCUGCGUGAAGGAUGAAGGUCUUCGGAUCGUAAACUUCUUUUCUAGGGGACGAAACCCCGCAAGGGUCUGACGGUACUCUAGGAAUAAGCCACGGCUAAAUAUGU
rnacentral:rRNA from 1 species